GCCUCGGUAGCUUAGCUAGCCAGAGCGGCAGAUUCGUAAUCUGCAGGUCGGGGGUGCAACUCCCUCCCGAGGCU
rnacentral:tRNA from 1 species